ACAGGGAUUGCCUCAGUAACGGCGAGUGAAGCGGCAACAGCUCAAAUUUGAAAUCUGGCAAGGCCCGAGUUGUAAUUUGCAGAGGAUGCUUUUGGCGCGGGUGCUCUUCCGAGUUCCCUGGAACGGGACGCCAUAGAGGGUGAGAGCCCCGUCUGGUUGGACACCAAGCCUCUGUAAAGCUCCUUCGACGAGUCGAGUAGUUUGGGAAUGCUGCUCAAAAUGGGAGGUAUAUGUCUUCUAAAGCUAAAUACCGGCCAGAGACCGAUAGCGCACAAGUAGAGUGAUCGAAAGAUGAAAAGCACUUUGAAAAGAGAGUUAAAUAGCACGUGAAAUUGUUAAAAGGGAAGCGUUUAUGACCAGACUUGGGCCGGUUAAUCAUCCAGCGUUCUCGCUGGUGCACUUUGCCGGUCCAGGCCAGCAUCAGUUCGUCGCGGGGGAUAAAGGCGUCGGGAAUGUGGCUCCUCGGAGUGUUAUAGCCCUUCGCGCAAUACCCUGCGGUGGACUGAGGUUCGCGCUCUGCAAGGAUGCUGGCGUAAUGGUCAUCAACGACCCGUCUUGAAACACGGACCAAGGAGUCGUCUUCGUAUGCGAGUGUUCGGGUGUAAAACCCCUACGCGUAAUGAAAGUGAACGCAGGUGAGAGCUUCGGCGCAUCAUCGACCGAUCCUGAUGUUCUCGGAUGGAUUUGAGUAAGAGCAUACGGGGCCGGACCCGAAAGAAGGUGAACUAUGCCUGUAUAGGGUGAAGCCAGAGGAAACUCUGGUGGAGGCUCGCAGCGGUUCUGACGUGCAAAUCGAUCGUCAAAUAUGGGCAUGGGGCGAAAGACUAAUC
rnacentral:rRNA from 1 species